rnacentral:lncRNA from 1 species
GUCAAUAGAAUUUCUUAACCAGAAUCUCUGUUUGCAAAUCAGUUUUAAAGAGUCAAAAAUUGUUUCGGAAAAAUGAUUUUCAAAGGUGACUUAGCAUAGCCAAUUUUGCCAAGUGUUGACUCUGAGUUUUGAAUAUAAACAAUCCUUUUCAAAAUAAAUUUUAUAUUUUGUCACUUAAUAGUAAAAAUACUUUCGAACCUAAAAUAAAAUCUUUUUGGUUAAAAACGGGUG